rnacentral:rRNA from 1 species
AUAACAGGUCUGUGAUGCCCUUAGAUGUUCUGGGCCGCACGCGCGCUACACUGACUGGUUCAACGAGUCUUCCCCUUGGCUGACAAGCCUGGGUAAUCUGCGAACGCCAGUCGUGAUGGGGAUAGAUUGUUGCAAUUUUCAAUCUUCAACGAGGAAUUCCUAGUAAACGCAAGUCAUCAGCUUGCAUUGAUUACGUCCCUGCCCUUUGUACACACCGCCCGUCGCACCUACCGAUUGAAUGGUCCGGUGAAAACUACGGACCGCGGCGGCUGCUCCUUUACGGGAGACGCCAUCCGCGGGAAAUUGUUUAAACCUUAUCAUUUAGAGGAAGGUGAAGUCGUAACAAGGUUUCCGUAGGUGAACCUGCAGAAGGAUCA